GUCUUAUAAUGCAAUUUUUCGUAGGCCUACUGUAGAUUCAAAAUUGUAUUUCUGUAAAAUCCCUGAAUAUUUUCUCUUGUAUGCAGGGUCAAUGCUUAAAUAUGUUCAAGGAGGAUCUCAAGGACAGGAUGAACCAUCCAGUAGUAGUGCCAUCCCUGGACAUCAACCACCAGCCAUUGUAGACCCUGCAACAAUCCCUAGCCAAGAAGAACAAGAACCAUCAACCACCAGUUCAGGAGAGGUUUGAGACCAUGAAUCAAGUGAAGGAGAAAUAUGGAGUGCUGCUUGAUUUCAGCAAAGUGAAUGGGAUGUCCAAGGAGGAUUUAAAAAAACACUGCACUGAAGUACAGAAGACACUGACAGAUAAGGGAGUAGCUGACAUUGAUGGACCUGAGAUGAUGCAGGAAAUCAUCAACCUUCCUCAGCUGCCACCACAGACGUCUGCUUUGGAAAUGCUGUCAUUU
ensembl:lncRNA